rnacentral:lncRNA from 1 species
UUCUGGAAACAGCAAUAUGGCUUCUGCAAGGCGACUCUCAUCCACAGACUUGGUGGGGAAGAGGUUUCAGUGGCCUGCAAGUUAUUCCAGACACAGGUAACUUCAUGGAUGUUCUUCAAAACCGUGUCCCCUUCACACUUCUGCCAUGGCCUGGUAACACUUGCUGUCGGGCCUAAUCCUUGCAGUGGAUUAUAACACUGCAGAGUGUGGGACUCAUCAGCCGGCUGAAGGAGAUUUCAGCCAUGGUUUCCCUCUCAGGUUCUGGUGGAUGUGGGGCAAAACAAUCCCCGUGUGUAGUUGGCAAAGCCACCUUGUUACCUGUGAAGGCAGGAGUGCUCCUCCUAGUUACAGAAACCAAGUGGGCUGAUCUGCCUGGCAGUUCCCAAGUACACAUGGCAAAGAGUAGAGGUUCUCUAUGGAUGGGGAUCUUGUAAACUCUAGGUUAUACAGUGAGGCUGGAGCCCCACAAACCGGCUACUGUUCUUCCCAUGAUCCUUAGCAUCUUACCCUUUCUCCUUAGCUAGAUUCUUCCCAACUAGAAGUCAUUGUUGCAAGGGAAUAGGGAGGGGUGUAACCAGACUCAGGGGGAGCCGUGCCAUGGGAGACUAUCUUACCUACUGAAAUGGUCCUCUCUCUACCUGUGCCCCUGCAGCCCCAGCCAGCCAAUGCCAACCCUGCAGGUCCUGCACCCACAGUGGGCCAAGCUGCGCCUGUAGCCCCACCAGCUGGCC